GACGAACGCUGGCGGCGUGCUUAACACAUGCAAGUCGAACGGAACGACCCUGCCUGUUGGGGCUCCUCGACUGGCGGACGUUUGAGUUACACGUGAGUAACCUCCCCUUGACUUUGGGAUAACUUCAGAAAACUUAGUCUAAUACCUGAUAAGAUCUCCUGCCGCAUGGUGGGGGUUGGAAAGAUUCGGUGGUUGGUGAUGGACUCGCGGCUCAUCAGCUUGUUGGUGGGGUAGUGGCUUACCAAGGCUUUGACGGGUAGCCGGCCUGAGAGGCUCAGCGGCCAAAUUAGGACUGAGAUACGGCCCAGACUCGUACGGUAGGCAGCGGUGGGGGAUAUUGCACAAUGGGCGGGAGCAUGAUGUAGCAACGCAGCGUGUGGGAUGACGGCAUUCGGGUUGUAAUCAACUUUCGCUUGAGACGAGGCGUGAGUGACAGUAACGGGUAAAGAAGCACCGGCUAACUACGUG
rnacentral:rRNA from 1 species